rnacentral:rRNA from 1 species
UACGUAGGGACCAAGCGUUGUUCGGAUUUACUGGGCGUAAAGGGCGCGUAGGCGGCAUGACAAGUCAGUUGUGAAAUCUCCGGGCUUAACUCGGAAAGGUCAACUGAUACUGUGCGACUAGAGUGCGGAAGGGGCAACUGGAAUUCUCGGUGUAGCGGUGAAAUGCGUAGAUAUCGAGAGGAACACCUGCGGCGAAGGCGGGUUGCUGGGCCGACACUGACGCUGAUGCGCGAAAGCGUGGGGAGCAAAAGGG